ensembl:snoRNA Gm25162 predicted gene, 25162
CCAACCACACCUUCUGGGAAGCACCCCCGUUGGCCCCUCUCAAAGUUCUUGAAAAUUAAAAUAUCUGUGUUCAGAGGACAGGUCUCCACCUGCAUAUCCUACAGCUUCUCAGAGUCCCGUGGAUGAUGACUGAGGAGACAAACCAUGCAGGAAACAAAA